rnacentral:rRNA from 1 species
CAUAGGUUAAUGAGGCGAACCGGGGGAACUGAAACAUCUAAGUACCCCGAGGAAAAGAAAUCAACCGAGAUUCCCCCAGUAGCGGCGAGCGAACGGGGAGCAGCCCAGAGCCUGAAUCAGUGUGUGUGUUAGUGGAAGCGUCUGGAAAGGCGCGCGAUACAGGGUGACAGCCCCGUACACAAAAAUGCACAUGCUGUGAGCUCGAUGAGUAGGGCGGGACACGUGGUAUCCUGUCUGAAUAUGGGGGGACCAUCCUCCAAGGCUAAAUACUCCUGACUGACCGAUAGUGAACCAGUACCGUGAGGGAAAGGCGAAAAGAACCCCGGCGAGGGGAGUGAAAAAGAACCUGAAACCGUGUACGUACAAGCAGUGGGAGCACGCUUAGGCGUGUGACUGCGUACCUUUUGUAUAAUGGGUCAGCGACUUAUAUUCUGUAGCAAGGUUAACCGAAUAGGGGAGCCGAAGGGAAACCGAGUCUUAACUGGGCGUUAAGUUGCAGGGUAUAGACCCGAAACCCGGUGAUCUAGCCAUGGGCAGGUUGAAGGUUGGGUAACACUAACUGGAGGACCGAACCGACUAAUGUUGAAAAAUUAGCGGAUGACUUGUGGCUGGGGGUGAAAGGCCAAUCAAACCGGGAGAUAGCUGGUUCUCCCCGAAAGCUAUUUAGGUAGCGCCUCGUGAAUUCAUCUCCGGGGGUAGAGCACUGUUUCGGCAAGGGGGUCAUCCCGACUUACCAACCCGAUGCAAACUGCGAAUACCGGAGAAUGUUAUCACGGGAGACACACGGCGGGUGCUAACGUCCGUCGUGAAGAGGGAAACAACCCAGACCGCCAGCUAAGGUCCCAAAGUCAUGGUUAAGUGGGAAACGAUGUGGGAAGGCCCAGACAGCCAGGAUGUUGGCUUAGAAGCAGCCAUCAUUUAAAGAAAGCGUAAUAGCUCACUGGUCGAGUCGGCCUGCGCGGAAGAUGUAACGGGGCUAAACCAUGCACCGAAGCUGCGGCAGCGACGCUUAUGCGUUGUUGGGUAGGGGAGCGUUCUGUAAGCCUGUGAAGGUGUGCUGUGAGGCAUGCUGGAGGUAUCAGAAGUGCGAAUGCUGACAUAAGUAACGAUAAAGCGGGUGAAAAGCCCGCUCGCCGGAAGACCAAGGGUUCCUGUCCAACGUUAAUCGGGGCAGGGUGAGUCGACCCCUAAGGCGAGGCCGAAAGGCGUAGUCGAUGGGAAACAGGUUAAUAUUCCUGUACUUGGUGUUACUGCGAAGGGGGGACGGAGAAGGCUAUGUUGGCCGGGCGACGGUUGUCCCGGUUUAAGCGUGUAGGCUGGUUUUCCAGGCAAAUCCGGAAAAUCAAGGCUGAGGCGUGAUGACGAGGCACUACGGUGCUGAAGCAACAAAUGCCCUGCUUCCAGGAAAAGCCUCUAAGCAUCAGGUAACAUCAAAUCGUACCCCAAACCGACACAGGUGGUCAGGUAGAGAAUACCAAGGCGCUUGAGAGAACUCGGGUGAAGGAACUAGGCAAAAUGGUGCCGUAACUUCGGGAGAAGGCACGCUGAUAUGUAGGUGAAGCGACUUGCUCGUGGAGCUGAAAUCAGUCGAAGAUACCAGCUGGCUGCAACUGUUUAUUAAAAACACAGCACUGUGCAAACACGAAAGUGGACGUAUACGGUGUGACGCCUGCCCGGUGCCGGAAGGUUAAUUGAUGGGGUCAGCGCAAGCGAAGCUCUUGAUCGAAGCCCCGGUAAACGGCGGCCGUAACUAUAACGGUCCUAAGGUAGCGAAAUUCCUUGUCGGGUAAGUUCCGACCUGCACGAAUGGCGUAAUGAUGGCCAGGCUGUCUCCACCCGAGACUCAGUGAAAUUGAACUCGCUGUGAAGAUGCAGUGUACCCGCGGCAAGACGGAAAGACCCCGUGAACCUUUACUAUAGCUUGACACUGAACAUUGAGCCUUGAUG